UGAAGCUCCAAACACAGAGGAACUCCGUCUCCCUCUCUCUCACUCUCCCCCUCUCUCUAGUUGAGGGGACUGUUGUCUGGUUCGAGACCAUUCAUGUUCAACAAAUGACAUGGAUGAUCUCGGACCAGGCUUCAUUCCCCCCAACAUGUUCAGGAACUAAGAUCAGUGAGUUCUGAUCAGGUUUCAUUCUCCUCAACUAGCGAAAAUUUUUCAGCAAUAUCCAUAGUGGCAGAGCUCUCUCCUUCAAUGCCUUCCCUUGUUAAAGAAUUCCUGUGGGUCUUAUUAUUUCAUUUCUAGCAGACUGCAGGUAAUAGCAAAGUCUCUUUUUAUUGUUUUUGCAAUGUAUUUCAACUUGUCCUUAACAAAGUAUGUGCAAUUUCAAUUCUUGUUCUGUACAAAUCCUGUCGAGGGGAGUUAAUUACAUCAAAAGCAUCCUAUGUGCGCAAAAAAUCUACCUAUGAUGAAGAAAGUUCUACCAAACACUGGAAAUGUUGCCUAAAAGCCUGGAUUUUCAGACUUCUGGAUAUUUCUGGUCAUGCUGUAAGUUAUGUUGGAAACAACUUUCUUUUGCCUCUUUGUGUACUGUCAACCAAGAAGGCUUCUGCUUUUUCCACUUUGACUGUUACCAUUGUGCUGCCUACUAACUUUCAUUUUAUUUUCUUCUCCUACCACCUUAUUGUUUAUGGAAUCAAUCUCAAUAAGAGCCUAGUCUUGAAUGGUA